GGGAGGAUGGCUGAGUGGUUUAAGGCGAUACUUUGCUAAGGUGUUUGCCCGACGGGCAGCGUGGGUUCGAAUCCCACUCCUUCUA
rnacentral:tRNA from 1 species